GAAAUGCGAUAAUUAAUGUGAAUUGCAGAAUUCAGUGAAUCAUCGAGUCUUUGAACGCACAUUGCGCCCCCUGGUAUUCCGGGGGGCAUGCCUGUCCGAGCGUCAUUGCUGCCCUCAAGCACGGCUUGUGUGUUGGGCUUCCGUCCCUGGCAACGGGGACGGCCCCAAAAGGCAGUGGCGGCACCAUGUCUGGUCCUCGAGCGUAUGGGGCUUUGUCACCCGCUCCCGUAGGUCCAGCUGGCAGCUAGCCUCGCAACCAAUCUUUUUAACCAGGUUGACCUCGGAUCAGGUAGGGAUACCCGCUGAACUUAAGC
rnacentral:misc_RNA from 1 species